rnacentral:rRNA from 1 species
ACGCUGGCGGCGUGCCUAAUACAUGCAAGUCGAGCGCGGGAAGCGGACUCGUCACCCUUCGGGGUGUCUAGUCCGUGGAACGAGCGGCGGAUGGGUGAGUAUCACGUGGGCAACCUGCCUGUAAGAUUGGGAUAACUCGCGGAAACGUGAGCUAAUACCGAAUGAAGUCUUUCACCACCUGGUGAAAGGAUGAAAGAUGGCUUUUUAGCUAUCACUUACAGAUGGGCCCGCGGCGCAUUAGCUAGUUGGUGGGGUAAAGGCCUACCAAGGCGACGAUGCGUAGCCGACCUGAGAGGGUGAUCGGCCACACUGGGACUGAGACACGGCCCAGACUCCUACGGGAGGCAGCAGUAGGGAAUCUUCCGCAAUGGACGAAAGUCUGACGGAGCAACGCCGCGUGAGUGAAUGAAGGUCUUCGGAUCGUAAAACUCUGUUGUCAGGGAAGAACAAGUUGUGUUCUAACAGGACAUGACCUUGACGGUACCUGACCAGAAAGCCCCGGCUAACUACGUGCCAGCAGCUGC